UUGGCACCUCUUUUUUUAUAUUUUCUCCUCCCUGUCCAGCUGAGGAGGGCAGUGAUAGAGGAGCUUUGGGGCACCUGGUGUCCAGCCAGCAUCAACCUGCCACUGAUAGACAACCUCUUCAUUUUUUCAGUCUGUCUUAACUGAUUGUUACUGUGGCUACUCAAGUCCCCCUCCAAUUGAUCUCCAUCAUUCCUCAGCCUGGAAAACAGAUUGUG
rnacentral:lncRNA from 12 species